UCGGCUAAAUCACGUUGAACCAGCAGUUGUCAUCUGAUCACCGGAGUUAAGCAAAAUUGAGCGUGGUCAAUACUCAGAUGGGUGACCACUGGGGAUCACCAGGUGCUGGA